CGAAGGUCACCCACUGAGGCAACAAAAGGAGGAUAAUGGCAGAGCGGAACAAUCUGAACCCAAGAUCUGGAUACCUCAAUACUGGAAUGACAUCUGCAGAUUGGAAGGAAUUCAGCAAAGAGCAACAAUGCAGAGCACAUCUAGGAGAUUUGAUUGAUAUUUUUCAUUGUGGAAUACUGGAGCAUUAUAAUAUUCAUGUGAAGGAGGCAGCAAGAGCCAAUGGCAUCUAAAAAGCUUCCUUCCUCAGAUACAGUCAAUUCCAAGUCGUACAGCAUCUUCCAAGCAGCACCUGCUUUCAGCUACUGGAGUUAUAGUCAACUAAA